rfam:Populus trichocarpa scaffold_16_contig_79, whole genome shotgun sequence.
UCUAGAACUCCAGAUAUAAGUUAAACAUUGAACAGUGUCUGGGUUGCAGGAUAAAUUUAGACAUCUUUUUUGUUGCUAACAUUUAAGCUGAAAAUGACGGUAUUGAGUCUUGAGAUCUUUAUAAAUAUUUUAGGCUUAUAUCUUGUCUUUUCAUU